rnacentral:rRNA from 1 species
UACGGAGGGAGCUAGCGUUGUUCGGAAUUACUGGGCGUAAAGCGCACGUAGGCGGCUUUUUAAGUCAGGGGUGAAAUCCCGGGGCUCAACCCCGGAACUGCCCUUGAAACUGGAGAGCUAGAAUCUUGGAGAGGCGAGUGGAAUUCCGAGUGUGAGAGGUGAAAUUCGUAGAUAUUCGGAAGAACACCAGUGGCGAAGGCGACUCGCUGGACAAGUAUUGACGCUGAGGUGCGAAAGCGUGGGGAGCAAACAGG